UAUUUUUAAAGUUCACUUACUGGGUUUUUUAAUGCAUUUUUGUGACACUGGAUUCCUCUUCAUUGGGUGUUUUUCUGAUGUUGGUUUAGUCAAACUGAAAUUUCCUGAAGGGAAUUUAUUUUCUAUCGAAUUUCUUGAUUUUUUUUAUUGCUUGUUUUUGAGGGGUUGACCUGAUGCCUGCCGUGGUUAAUCAGUUGUACAUUUACAGUUUAUGUAAAUUUAGUUUUAGAGGAUUAUAUAGAUUAAUUGAUGUUGGUGUUCUCCCUGUGGGGAGGAGGAUUUACUUAAGUUUCCUCAGUUCGAGCAUGUGGGUGUUGUGUCGUGAGGCAGUGAUGUAAAUUGAUGCUAAGACCUGCUGUUAACUAUAAGUUGAGAUUCCAUUCUAAUGUUGGAUAAACAAGAGUGUUAUGGGUGCCUAUGUGUGGGUGGGCAAAAUGGCGAGCUCAUGGAAUAAUUAUUGUGAUCCAUUGUCCUGAUUGCAAGCUCUCUUAAUGGGAGUCAUAGAGGCGACAUGAUAUGCUUAUUUAUGUGGGAGAGACUACAGUGACGUGAUAUUUGGUUUUGUUACACAUCUGUAGAUUUUUUUUCCAGGUUUUCCUUGUCCUGCCUCAGUCAGCAAGGUGUACAAUGUUUUUGCGUACAUGUCUGUAUUUAUCUGUAUUUGAUUUAGUUAUUUCAUACCACUAUUAAGUGCUGCCUUUCUGUUUUCAUAUGUUUGAUAUGUUUCUUUUAUUUCACUUAGAUCUUCUCUUUUCAUGGUUACUCAACACUGAACCAUGAUUCUUCGUAUCUACUGUUUUCAAAUUUUAAGUUGGAAUUUACAUCUAUUCGGCUACUUCAAUAUUACACCUGAGCCAACAGCAUAACAAUUCAUGGUGCUUGGUUAUUACUAUUAUUUUUAAUGUUUUAUAUGAACAAUAAAGCUACUUGUACAAAGUUGGGUUACAAAAGUUGGAUUACAAAGUGUGUUGGCAAAAUCCGGGCCAUUGAUUUGAAAUGAUUUAAAAAUCUGUUAUUGAAAUAAUUGGUGUGGAUGUUAUUUUGUCAACCACCUUUGUAACCCACCUUUGUAAGUGUAGCAUAGCUCUUAUAUGAAACUCAUAAUCUGGACAUUCUCUGUACACACAUUCCAUCGUACAAAAAUUUCAGCAAGCGCAUUGAAGGUGCUUAAAAGAUUUGAAUCUUGGCUGCGUCAAUACUUCCCAUUUCAAGAUAUUAAAUCAAAUUAUUGACUUCGAAAACAGACUGAGGCUGGGUCCAAGACCUGUGCUACAACUUCAGGCCGUGGGCUGCAGAAAAUUUUAAAUCUUGAAAGAGUUCUGUAGCACCAAGUAUCCCAAUUCAAAUUGGGGAUAGACAUGAAAUUGCAGUGAGUUGAAUUAAGAAUUAACUUGGCCUGAACCUCUUGGCCUAUUUGUUAACGAGGUUAUUUUUUUCUAUACAUAUUGGAGUUUGAUGUAUCUAGCGCACUAAUAUGUGAUGUAUCCAGGUGGGUUGAUUGAACACGUUGCAUGGCAGUGUGUUACCUAGUGGAAGUAGCGAUUUUCUGUGUGAGAGAGACUGGGCUGUUAUCGUGCCACGACAAGAAUACCAUACAUUUUAGGGUGGAAAAUAGUAAAGCCAAGAGUCCUGUAUUGGUUGGGACUCACAUUGGGAAAAAAAACAUGCAUCAGUAGGGGCUGGGAAAUUUACUUGAUCUGGCUUUUGUUGUGCCAAGUGGUUAUCAUCGUAAACCAAAUAGUUAUUGAACCUAUUAUAUCUGAUGAGCCCUUUGGACCUUGGGCAUGUGAAGGCUUGGCUUCUUCAUAAAUUUUAUGCAAGACAUUGCAGAUAAAGCUUGAAUACCCAUUUUUAACAAGUUGGCUUGGAGAACUAAAAGAGAGUUUUCUAGUGACGAAAAUUUCCAUGUGUUACUAAAACAUGACAGAAACUUGCAGUUAAGCAACUGCUUGUUUGCUGUGACUGGUAGCUUGAUUUACAAGGGAUUAUUAUGAAGGUUAAUGUGAGGCAUUUAGGUUUCUUGCUGACGCCAAAUAUUUGGGUUUAGCAUUGUGAAAGAAUAGCUAUUCUGUCUUUUUUAUAGUACUUAAUGGUUCAGAUGUGAAUCAUGUGAUAAACAGCAAGUAAUUUAGCUCCUUUUCUUUAUUUUUUAUCCUUUACCGUGAACAGGUUAAGUGAUUGGUACAGUAAGAAACUGAUUGGAUUGUCUUGAGUUCGUGGGAGAAACUUCAGCGGAAUAUCAGUUAUUUAGAAAAUUUAAGUGCUGUGAGAGAUUGGAAGUAGUAUAAUCACUACGAAACUGGGUGCAGGUUGUCAUAAUCAGUGAUUUUUUUCUAGUUUUGUUGAUAUGUAUUAUUCAUUGUUGGCAUGUUUAGUUGGACCUAGGAAGAAUUGGAUAGAACAGGAGACUAUCAAGUAAGGAGUUAAUAUAUUGAAAAUAAUUUCAGCAUAUGGUUUAGUUUCAUCGCUUUUACUCUUGAUAUAGAUUAUGUGGCAAACAUAAAGAAUUUAGCUGAACCAGUGCCUAUGCAGAACCUAAUUUAUUGAAAAUAAUUUCAGCAUUCGAUCAAGUUAUUUCGUUUUUUGCUGGUGAAGAUAAACAAUAUGUUUUCAAGUUCUGCUGUUACUUGCUCACGUAAGAACAAGCCACAUGCAUACAAAAGAGUUCAAAUUACAUCUCCAGUCGUAUCCUAGAAGUGCCACCGCCCACUCUAUGCUCCACCUUGGUCAACUGUUUCCUCUUGAAUAAUGCCUGUGUGUGAUAGUUUGAUAUUUGGUAUUUAUACAUGUUUUUCUAAACCUUAGGCCAAAUGAGUGAAGUCUUUAUAGGUUUGGUUUGAAGAGUUUAAUGUUCAACUUUAACUCGAAGGAAUACUUGUUUCUUUGUUAUUGCCCACAAUCUGGGAAAUUGGCAGAUACCUUAGCAAAUAACAAAAAA